rnacentral:rRNA from 1 species
AACGAACGCUGGCGGCGUGCCUAACACAUGCAAGUCGAGCGCGAAAGUCCCCUCGGGGGCGAAGUAGAGCGGCAGACGGGUGAGUAAUACAUAGGUAAUCUACCUUCGGGAUCGGGAUAACUCUGCGAAAGUGGAGCUAAUACCGGAUAAGACCACAUUACAUAAGUCAUGUGGUAAAAGGUGGCCUGUAUUUAUACUAGCUAUCACCUGAGGAUGAGCCUUUGGCCUAUCAGCUUGUUGGUAAGGUAAAAGCUUACCAAGGCUAUGACGGGUAGCUGGUCUGAGAGGAUGAUCAGCCACACUGGGACUGAGACACGGCCCAGACUCCUACGGGAGGCUG